rnacentral:rRNA from 1 species
GACUCCGGAGAGGGAGCCUGAGAAACGGCUACCACAUCCAAGGAAGGCAGCAGGCGCGCAAAUUACCCAAUCCCGAUACGGGGAGGUAGUGACAAGAAAUACCGAUUCAGGAUCUUAUUGGAUCUUGAGAUUGGAAUGAGUACAAUUCAAACCCAUUAACGAGGAACAACUAGAGGGCAAGUCUGGUGCCAGCAGCCGCGGUAAUUCCAGCUCUAGUAGCGUAUAUUAAAAUUGUUGCAGUUAAAACGCUCGUAGUUGAACUUUGGGCUUGGCUGGCUGGUCCGCCUCACCGCGUGCACUGGUCCGGCUGGGCCUUUCCUCUUGGGGAUCCACAUGCCCUUCACUUGGGUGUGUUGGGGAACCAGGACUUUUACUUUGAAAAAAUUAGGGUGUUCAAAGCAGGCAUUUGCUCGAAUACAUUAGCAUGGGAUAAUAGAAUAGGACGUGUGGUCUUAUUUUGUUGGUUUCUAGGACCGCCGUAAUGAUUGAUAGG